UGACGUGACGGACGCAUGCGCAAAGUUUUGGCGCAUAUAGACCUUCAGAGAGCCGGCGUGUGUGACUAACUUCAGGAUUGGAUGGUAGAAGAGGAAGAAGGCACGGCGAACUGGUUAGACGAGAAGACCACAGAUGCUUUCUUCAGUUUGGAUGAACUCAAACCUGAAACAUGUCACGCUGGUGAGUCAGGCAGUGCAGAGUCAUCCAGCCGUGAAGCCAUUUGCCGGUGAGGACGAGGAGUGGGCCAACUAAAGAGAACGAGGUCGGUAUUGACGCAUGAAAACGGCUUUACGUGGCAAAGAAGAAGUGAAUGAAAGAUGAUGCAUGUCAUUUAAAAUGCCUGAGGGAGCAAGUGUAAUCUAAAUUGGAUAUAGAGGGUAUUAUUACACAACAUUAUGCGUUGUGGCGGACUAAUUGCGUGGCUGGGUGAGUUAAACAGUCAGUUAAUGUCGAGUGGCGGACAGGUUUCUGGAGCGCACAAGGUCAGCUGUACUGCUCCCAAGCCUUUAGUGGUAUACAGAAAAAAAAAAUGCUUGAAGUAUUCAUGGGAUUUUUAACCAUUCUAAAUCUGUGUCCUAAACCGAUUAGUUGACACCAAUUUUUCUUUGAUGUAUUAGCUGAGGGCUUUUGCCACUUGGAAGCCAAUUGAAAUUCAAAACAGUUUUCGCUCCAAAUGCUUUGGGGAGAUCUGCUGCAAAUAAUGGAUGUAAUUUAUUUUUGACCUUGCAUUUUUUUUUUUUUGAAGAGGGGGUUUAUUAAAUGAUUAAACAUAUGUGCACUAUGCUGCUUGACUAAACAACUGGCAUCCUAUACAUGCGACAAUUAGCUAUUAUUAUGAAAAUACAGCAAUAAUUUUGCCUGUUUCUAUUUAGGCAUUUAAAAAAUGGGAAAGACUUGACUUUGGUUGUUACUUCAGUUUUGUCUGUUUGUCAUUUUUAGUUACUCUUACAAAGUUGUUGUUUUAUUAUUUUCCAGAUGUAUUAAAAAUAAUAAUUCACUGUUUGUUUGUCUUUGUUUUGAAUUUGUUCAGAUCCAUGUUGAGGAAGUCUCAUGUCACCAAGCAGUCAGUGAAAUACACCCCUCCCAACGUCCCAACACACACACACACACACACAUAAGCACACACACAUGCAGAUGAAACCUUAACAUGGCACCAAUUAAAUUCACUUUUUACAGAUGUCAUUACACUACAGCACAUAAGCUGUAAUGUAAUGUUCAGUUGGGCAUUUAUAGUUAUCAUAUUUUGUGUGUUUCAAAUAAUUCAGUAAGCUCCGCAGAAUGCAGUUGUCGCUACACUUCUGUGAUUGUUUAUAUAGAAAAGUUUCACGUUUCUCCUGAUAUCACAACCAUCACUCACAUCAUGAGCUGAUGCACAGCUCAAACUUCAUUUUAUUCGGCUUCGAAAAUCACACAGUUUACAUGGAGCACAAU